CGAAAAUCCCCAAGGUGUCAAACUUCUACAACAAGGCUGUGAUAUUCGUUCAGAAUGUGCCUUGUCUAUGGCAUCUGUAAAGUGAACCGAGUAACAGCGAUUUGACAGUGAAUAUCUGAAAGCAAAAACACCCAGUUGGCAACAGCAAAUGUUAAAGUCAAUCACUGAUGGUGAAGAUGAAAAAUCCUUUCCACACUGCCCUGUCACAUAACAGACAACAACAGCAUGUUGUCAGCAUGUCUGUCGCCGAGUUAUGCAUUACAAAUCACAAGUUAAGUUUUAAAAAAUCAAUUCAGAUUAGGAUUUUGAGGAAAUUUCAGCUAAAGUUUUCGUGUGUGACAAAACAGCAUGUCUUCCAAAGCCAAAUAAUUUCUAUUUGCAAGGUUAACAUUUUGCCAGGGGUAUAGAAAACCCCUGAUUUUGCUGUCUAGUCGUAGUAAAUCUCCAAGACAUUGCUGCCUUCCUCAGAUCCAAUUCUUUGCUGUUAUCUAUUUUGAGGACAUUAACUGCAAGACAAUUCUGCCACUCAACUGGAUGUGGUGACCAACGAGCAGAGACUAAAGAGCGACAAUGUGAAUAAGAUAUCUAAGUUAUGUUGCAUUAGAUCAUAGAAUAAUUUGUUUAAUAAUCAUUAUAUAUAUGAAUUUGCUUUGUGCCGGAAACUUUGUUUAUUGAAUUAUUUAUUACGUGUUUUGUACAUUGGUUGCGGAUUAA